rnacentral:rRNA from 1 species
GACGAACGCUGGCGGCGUGCUUAACACAUGCAAGUCGAGCGGUAAGGCCCUUUCGGGGGUACACGAGCGGCGAACGGGUGAGUAACACGUGGGUGACCUGCCCUCAGCUCUGGGAUAAGCCUGGGAAACCGGGUCUAAUACCGGAUAUGACUCCAUGACGCAUGUUGUGGGGUGGAAAGCCUUGUGCGGCUGAGGAUGGGCCCGCGGCCUAUCAGCUUGUUGGUGGGGNGAUGGCCUACCAAGGCGACGACGGGUAGCCGGCCUGAGAGGGCGACCGGCCACACUGGGACUGAGACACGGCCCAGACUCCUACGGGAGGCAGCAGUGGGGAAUCUUGCGCAAUGGGCGAAAGCCUGACGCAGCGACGCCGCGU